rnacentral:tRNA from 1 species
GGCCUUAUAGUGUAGUGGUUAUCACGGCGGAUUCUGAUUCCGUAGACGUAGGUUCGACUCCUGCUUAGGCCU